AUCGGCUGGGCCAUAUACUGGCAGUUCAUGACGAAGGCAGGGGAGCGAAAGGGAUUAGAUACCCUGUAGUCCUGGCCGUAGCGAUGAACACUAGGUGUCGGGGAAUCGACCCCUCGGUGUCGUAGCCAACGCGUUAAGUGUCCGCCUGGGAGUACGCCGCAAGUGUGAACUCAAAGGAAUUGACGGGGCUCGCCAAGCGGUGGAGUAUGUGGUUUAAUUCGAUGCAACGCGAAGAACCUUAACAGGGUUUGACAUCCUGUGAAUCCCUUGGAAACGAGGGGAGUGCCUUCGGGAGCGCAGAGACAGGUGGUGCAUGGCUGUCGUCAGCUCGUGUCGUGAGAUGUUGGGUUAAGUCCCGCAAACGAGCGCAAACCCACGUCGUUAGUUGCCAGCAUUUAGUUGGGCACUCUAGCGAGACCGCCGGUGAUAAACCGGAGGAAGGUGUGGAUGACGUCAAGUCAUCAUGCCCCUUACAUCCUGGGCUACACACGUACUACAAUGCUACGGACAAAGGGCAGCAAACUCGCGAGAGCUAGCAAAUCCCAUAAACCGUGGCUCAGUUCAGAUCGUAGGCUGCAACUCGCCUACGUGAAGGAGGAAUCGCUAGUAAUCGCAGGUCAGCAUACUGCGGUGAAUACGUUCCCGGGCCUUGUACACACCGCCCGUCACACCAUGGAAGUUGGCCACGCCCGAAGCCGUUACUCCAACCCUUGUGGAGGAGGACGUCGAAGGUGGGGCUGAUGACUGGGGUGAAGUCGUAACAAGGUAGCCGUACCGGAAGGUGCGGCUGGAUCACCUCCUAACAGGGAGACAACUCAGACGUUGAUGCUUGACCAGAUUUGAUGUUAAGCCAGUGUCCUGUCACUCUAGGUCGAUCGGUACCUCAGCUUUGAGAUUGAGAACUGUAGAGAAGCGAAGCAGAAGUCAGCAGGGAAACCAGCUGAUGGAUGUGAUGUGAAUCUAUUGUUGCUCAAGACUCAAUUUUCAGUUCCUAAACGUUGUCUAGGUCACCCCAUAGCGGGUUUCACCUCCUGGGCCAUUAGCUCAGGGGUUAG
rnacentral:sRNA from 1 species